GCUCAUAUCAGUUCAUAUUCACCAAAUCUAUUUCAUAUGAAAGCGUAAAGUCGACCCUUCUCCUUCGUUUCUUCGAUGAAGUUCUGUAACGACUUCUUUCUUCAACGAUCAAUAGAUUUCUUUAAUCCCCUCUUAAUGAAUUCGUUUCACCUAGCAUAUAACUCUUCAGAUUCACUCAGGUUCUCAAUAUAUAACUUCCUCUCCGAUUCUCUGAUCACUUAUUCCACCCACAUCCAAACAAAUCUCAGCGCAUCGAUGGCUUCAAAAAUCUUCAAUGAUGGUGCCGUUAGUCAACUCAUCUUCGCAUUAAAACCACUCUCCUCCGAUCUCUCUCUCAUCUUUUACCUUCUUCUCCGGCGACUUUCAUACACCUUCGAAUCUGAAUGAGUUUGUGAGUGGAGGAGUGAGGACUGACUUUGCUUCCAGUCCUUGCUACGAACGACUAAAAGAUUGUUGCUAUAUAAAAUUUUCAAAAGUUAUUAACAUACAUAAAAUAAAGCCACUUUGCUUCACCAGAAAGACGACCGACAUGCUUAAAUUACUCUAUUGAUUAUUUUUGAUAUCUUUAGCAUCUGGUCCCUUAAUUUUUGGUUUGUGAGUUGCCUUUGAACUUAUAUGUACAAGUUAAUCAAAGAGGUUUGUGAUGGACUUUUGAUAAUGUUUGGCGAGCUGUUCUUUGAGUACAUGUUAUACUUCUUCUUGCUUGCAUUUUGAAUUUUCCUGAUACUAAUUCAUGGAACUUAUCUGUGUAUCUCAUUCUAUUUGAUCAGGAAUGAAAAUAUUUUACUAGCUUAUGAAGGGUUGGCAAAAAAUUUUUUUGUUGUAGAUGAUAUCAGAAAUUGGUACUUUCAAGCCUUUCAAAGCAAUCCUUACAUGCAUCAAACGUGAUCUUAAGCCAGCGGGGAGGUUAAUUCAGUGACCCAUAUGUUUCGUUUAAGUCCACGUUUAUCGAGUAUGUUGUUAUACGCUGGUAGAGCCAAAGAGAGCACCUGAAGUACUUCUACAGUCCUAUCUAUGCACAUUAGAAGUUGGUUAGUAUCAAAUUUUUGUACUCCAUCAGGUGCAUUUACUAUAAGACACCAUCUGCGGAGGCUCUGUAACACCCCUUCUUUCAGGUUCUGAUUAGAGAAAAGUCUUUCUCAAGGUCAUAAGCUCUUUUGGGCGAUGGAUAUUUCAUAGUUUUGAUUUUUUUGUUUUUUAUUUUCCAGUGUGCCCGGAAAUAUUUCCCUUGAAACGAGCAUACCAGUGGGAUUUGGUGUUGUAGUCAGAUUUUUCUAAUACUUUAAGUUGACUAUCGGAAUGAGCUAGAGCAGAGUGAUACUUUAAGUUGAAAAUAUAUUUGCUUUGAUAAGUU